AAGCCUCUGCCGCUGCCCAGCCACCGCCCGGUUCCUGCUCCGCUGCCAGCCCCAGCUCAGCAUCCCGGCCACCUCCUCGGCCACGUGGUGGGGUGAGGGUCCUCGUCAGCAGCCGAGGAGGUGGCCGCACAGUCCCGCCUGCCUGCCAUUCGUUCCACCGACGUUGAGAGGACCUCGGAGCCUGGCUCUGGGGCCAGGCUGCCACUAUUCGAGUUCACGCUCUGCCUGUCACUUCCUGGCUGCUUGAGUGUCCUGGCAACAUGGCGGCCGGCUGCCCCCAGGGUGAGCGAUCGAAGGAGGAAGGCAGAAAUCACAUCUUCCAUGGCCGAGCCACAGAAGCUGCACACUGCCCUUCCAGCAAUAUCCUGGUGCUGCCCAGGGUGGGAGGGGCGACACAAGACCAGAGGCCCGGGCGGGCCCCACGGGGCUUCUGGGAGCUGGCUAUGAUGGCCAGGACCCGGCUGCUGCUGUCAUUCACUGCCACUCCCUCAGCCUUGUGGUGGCCUUGUCAACCAAGGAGAAGGCCAGGCCUGUGUCUUCCAGCUGUGUCCCCCUCCACUCCCACCGCCCAGCCAGAGACAGGUCCAUGGCAUAAGCCGGUAAGUGAACAGAUAUUUGAUGGGGGAGCUUCUCAGCGCAGUUGAGAUGGCCCAGGAGAGCCCGGUGGGUGAGAACCUGGACUCUAGAGCCCAGUGGUUGGAGUUCAAAUCCCACCUCUACCACUUACUGGCUGUGCCACCUGAGGCAAGCCACAUAACCUCUCUGUACGGCAGUUCCCUCCUCUGGAAAAUGAUAACCACAGGGUUGUGAGGAUUCAGUGAGUUCAUGCCUGCCAGGCAGCAAGUGCUCAAUACAUGUUCACUGUGAUGGGGAGAUCGGUCAACCUCCCAAUCUGGUGCUCCGACACCUGUGUCCAUCCCACUUCCCGUGUUUGAGGCCGUGGAAGUCCAGACCGAGCUCAACCGCCAGCUACCUUUCAGCCAGGAAAGGGUCAUCGGUCAAGGUGACCGACAGGUGGAGAUGACACUUGGGCUGUAAAUGCAGCGAGAGGACCAGCGUGGCGCCCUCCUCGAAGCUGCCCAGGCCUCCACCAGCCCCGACGUCUUGCAGCCUCCCCGGGCCCUUCUCCCCACGGCCACCUGGAUGCCUCCUCUUCGCUUGAUUCAGCUUCUCUUUCUCUUUUUCCUCAUGCGCUGGCGCGUUCCCACCC
rnacentral:lncRNA from 1 species